rnacentral:rRNA from 1 species
GACAGAGGGUGCGAACGUUGUUCGGAAUUACUGGGCGUAAAGCGCAUGUAGGCGGCAGCGCAAGUCGGGCGUGAAAUCCCACGGCUCAACCCGUGGAAGUGCACUCGAAACUGCGCAGCUAGAGUCCUGGAGAGGAAGGUGGAAUGCUUGGUGUAGAGGUGAAAUUCGUAGAUAUCAAGCGGAACACCGGUGGCGAAGGCGGCCUACUGGACAGU